rnacentral:rRNA from 1 species
GGGAAUCUGCCCUUAGGUUCGGAAUAACAGUUAGAAAUGACUGCUAAUACCGGAUGAUGACGUAAGUCCAAAGAUUUAUCGCCUAGGGACGAGCCCGCGUAGGAUUAGCUAGUUGGUGUGGUAAAGGCGCACCAAGGCGACGAUCCUUAGCUGGUCUGAGAGGAUGAUCAGCCACACUGGGACUGAGACACGGCCCAGACUCCUACGGGAGGCAGCAGUGGGGAAUAUUGGACAAUGGGCGCAAGCCUGAUCCAGCAAUGCCGCGUGAGUGAUGAAGGCCUUAGGGUUGUAAAGCUCUUUUACCCGGGAUGAUAAUGACAGUACCGGGAGAAUAAGCCCCGGCUAACUCCGUGCCAGCAGCCGCGGUAAUACGGAGGGGGCUAGCGUUGUUCGGAAUUACUGGGCGUAAAGCGCACGUAGGCGGCUUUGUAAGUUAGAGGUGAAAGCCUGGAGCUCAACUCCAGAACUGCCUUUAAGACUGCAUCGCUUGAAUCCAGGAGAGGUGAGUGGAAUUCCGAGU